rnacentral:rRNA from 1 species
UACGAAGGGGGCUAGCGUUGCUCGGAAUCACUGGGCGUAAAGGGUGCGUAGGCGGGUCUUUAAGUCAGGGGUGAAAUCCUGGAGCUCAACUCCAGAACUGCCUUUGAUACUGAAGAUCUUGAGUUCGGGAGAGGUGAGUGGAACUGCGAGUGUAGAGGUGAAAUUCGUAGAUAUUCGCAAGAACACCAGUGGCGAAGGCGCUCACUGGCCCGAUACUGACGCUGAG